rnacentral:tRNA from 1 species
GUCUCUGUGGCUCAGUCGGUAGAGCGUUGGUCUCAUAUUACUCUGAUUAGUAUGACUCUGUCUGUAGACGGAGAUAUCCAAAGGUCGCAAGUUCGAGCCUUGCCAGGGACA